rnacentral:rRNA from 1 species
GACGAACGCUGGCGGCGUGCUUAACACAUGCAAGUCGAACGGAAAGGCCCGGCUUUUGUUGGGUGCUCGAUUGGCGAACGGGUGAGUAACACGUGAGUAACCUGCCCUUGACUUUGUGAUAACUUCAGGAAACUGGGGCGAAUACCCGAUAGGAUCUCCUGCAGCAUGUGGGGGAUUGGUGAGUUUCGGCUUUUGUGGAUGGACUCGCGGCUUAUCAGCUUGUUGGUGGGGUAGUGGCUUACCACGGCUUUGACGGGUAGCCGGCCUGAGAGGGUGACCGGCCACAUUGGGACUGAGAUACGGACCAGAAUCAUACGGGAGGCAGCAGUGGGGAAUAUUGCACAAUGGGGGGAAGUCUGAUGCAGAAACGCCGCGUGCGGGAUGACGGCCUUCGGGUUGUAAACAGAUUUCGACUGUGACGAAGAGUGAGUGACGGUAAUGGGUAAAGAAGCAACGGCUAACUACGUG